AGGGCUAAUUCGGGUAAUUUAGUGUUUAGGUACGAUGCAUCGGCAGGAUCGUUAGGCCUUAUCACAGUCGGUGUACCAGAAUCGUUUAACGAAGAACAUAGAUUAGUUAUAGAUGGUGCUGAAUGUAUCAAAGCUUUAAAGAAUUGGGACAAAACAGUGUUCUGCCAAAAGGGAAUUAAAUCGAAAUUGCAGAAAAAGUGGUGUUUAGAAACAUCAAACAAUUAUUUAUAUGACCAUUAUAUACAGAAUUCAUGCCUUUAUCUUCAUAAUACCGGUUGCGAAAGAAACCCAUGGACCGAAAACAUAUUUUGUCAGCAGGGAAGACCUUGUGAUAAAAGACUUCACUGUAUCUAUGAUAAGGAUGAUAAUGGACAAUUAUUAGGCUGUAGAUCGUAUGACCAUUUGCAAA